UUCACUCAGAUCCUGACAGUGAUUCAUCAACGGAAAGGAAUACUGCUGCCGCCUCGUGUUAUAUUGUUUGUUCAUAUGUGAAGAUUUCAGAUUCGAAUGAGGUACUACAGUCUUCUGGUUCUGAAACUCAGCCGCCGUCUCCAGAUCAAGGGGAUCAACCACCAUACUCUAGCUCUGAAACUCAGCCACCGUCUCCAGAUCUAGGCGAUCAGCCACCAUAUUCUGGCUCCGAAACUCAGCCGCCGUCUCCUGGUGCAUUUCUAGAAUUGGCUGCACCACAUACAAUUGAACAAUUUUCAGAUUUGGAUGAGACACAAGGGGAUGAGCCACAGUAUUCUGGUUAUGAAACUCAGCUGACACCUUUAGAAUUGGCAUCACAAGACCAAAGAACAGUUUCAUCUGACGUGUCUCUUGACUCACCUAGCACCACUGAACACAAGGUAUUUCAAGCUUGGCGCGGCGCACUUCGAUUCAUCUUAGCAGCAUACUAAGAAGUUGCUUGGUCCAAUACCAGAUACAGGAUAGGUCAGUGAUGGUUAUAGAAGCAGUCAGGAGUGAAUUGUGCACUGGAAAAACAUUCUAGAGUGGAAUAAAAAACUUGGGUCAGCUUUUUGUGAAAAGUGAAAAAAGUGACUUUCCGAAUGUUGAUUGUUUGCAUAAUCUGGAGUUGUUAAAUUAUAUGUGCUUUGACAUAACAUA